UUAUUUGUUAUACAAUUUACAUACAUUGACUUGGGUUUGUUUAAAAAGGGGUUGGACUAGUAACCACCCAACAAAGGGUGGCUUUCAUCAACGGUGCACAGUGUUUGGUAAUGAAGAGCGAAGCCCAUAAAUGAGUCUUCUUAAUUCACUAAUGAUCCUUCCGCAGGUUCACCUACGGAAA
rnacentral:misc_RNA from 1 species